GUGCUCACUUUGGCAGCACAUAUACUAAAAAAAAUUGGAAUGAUACAGAAAAGAUUAGCAUGACCCCUGCACAAGGAUGACAUGUAAAGGUACAGAAGGCUGAACGAAGGUU